rnacentral:tRNA from 1 species
UCCCUGAUAACUCAGUUGGUAAAGAAUCUGCCUGCAAUGCAGGAGACCUGGGUUUGAUCCCUGGGUUGGGAA